GGUGAACGCUGACAGAAUGCUUAACACAUGCAAGUCGAGCGCCCCGCAAGGGGAGCGGCAGACGGGUGAGUAACGCGUGGGAAUCUACCUUUUGCUACGGAAUAACUCAGGGAAACUUGUGCUAAUACCGUAUGUGCCCUUCGGGGGAAAGAUUUAUCGGCAAAGGAUGAGCCCGCGUUGGAUUAGCUAGUUGGUGGGGUAAAGGCCUACCAAGGCGACGAUCCAUAGCUGGUCUGAGAGGAUGAUCAGCCACACUGGGACUGAGACACGGCCCAG
rnacentral:rRNA from 1 species